GACGAACGCUGGCGGCGUGCUUGACACAUGCAAGUCGAACGGAAAGGCCUGCUUUCCCUUGUGGAUUGCGAGUACUCGAGUGGCGAACGGGUGAGUAACACGUGAGUGAUCUGCCCCCAACUUGGGUAUAAGCCUGGGAAACUGGGUCUAAUUCCCGAUAGGACUGCAGGGUGGUGCCUGUGGUGGAAAACGAUUUUCUAGUGGUUGGGGAUGAGCUCGCGGCCUAUCAGCUUGUUGGUGGGGUAAUGGCCUACCAAGGCGGCGACGGGUAGCCGGCCUGGGAGGGUGGACGGCCACAUUGGGACUGAGAUACGGCCCAGACUCCUACGGGAGGCAGCAGUGGGGAAUAUUGCACAAUGGGCGGAAGCCUGAUGCAGCGACGCCGCGUGGGGGAUGACGGCCUUCGGGUUGUAAACUCCUUUCGACCGCGAGGAAGCCACCUGGUUGGAAGGGUGGUGACGGUAGUGGUAGAAGAAGCACCGGCUAACUACGUG
rnacentral:rRNA from 1 species